AUGUCCAACAUCUAUGCCGGUGCAUCAACACUUGCAGGGAAGUACUGUGACAACUAUUCGAUCAAGGCAGACCCAAGGAAUUCUAUUCUCAGUGGGUUCGGAUGGCUGCAAGAGACAGUGUCAACACCUGGAGAAACAUAUACCAUGUUGAGGAUGAACGCACGCCUCUUCUUUCAAUUGCAUGACUUGUUGGUCAAAAGGAAUGGCUUCAAAUCAACCUGUUUCGUGAGCAGUUAUGAGGCGCUUGCAAUGUUCUUGUGGACUUUAGGGGGUUGCGAGUCUAAUAGGAGAACACAAAAUCGUUUCAAGCAUUCAGGAGAUACAGUCCACCGGAAGUUUCAUGAGGUUUUACUCUGUGUGAUUAAGAUGGUAGCAGAUUACCUGAAACCUAAGGACCCAAAUUUAGUAGUGUGCACCCAAGGAUUCAAAAGGAUAGAAGGGCUUAUCCACAUCUUAAGGACUGCAUCGGCGCACUAG
rnacentral:rRNA from 1 species